GGCCCGGUGCGUCGGUGGGCCGGUGGCGGCGAGCAGGGGACGCCGGAAGGAACUUCAGAAAUCGACAGAUUACUGGUGCAGUGAUCAAUUGUUGGUUGGUCAGGCAAGAUUAGCCAAGUGCUGAUCUUACUUUUACUGCUGUGUAAGUGCGAAUUCUUGUUGGAGAUGGCAAACGAACACGAGAGAGACAAGCAAAUCGGAGAAGAGGAAGAGGAGGAAGAAGAAGAGUAUGUCUUGCUAGAGUUGGAUGGUUGUAUGUAUUCCAACAUUCAACCAGAUGCCCCUUAUAUACUCUCUAUGCUUCACCAAAACCAGUUCAUGAUCAUAGUGCACCUCCCAAAGUAAAUAAGGACAAGCUAGGCAGCACUAAUAAGGAAGGACCAUCCAAGGAGGUGAAACAUCUCGCAAGAGUUCAAAAGAUUGUCAAAUUCCGGUCGAUCAAUGAGGAUCAUCA